CAAUAGCGUAUACUAAAGUUGUUGCAGUUAAAAGCUCGUAGUUGGAUUUCUGGUCGUGGAAGUCGGUCCGCUCCUCACGGAGUGUGCACCAGGCUUCUGCAUCCAUCUUCGGAGAGAACAUAUCUGGCAUUUAGUUGUCGGGUGUGAGAUCUUCGUCAUUUACUGUGAGCAAAAUAGAGUGUUCAAAGCAGGCUUAGGCCGUUGAAUACAUUAGCAUGGAAUAAUAAGAUAAGACCUUGGUCUAUUUUGUUGGUUUGCAUUCCAAGGUAAUGAUUAAUAGGGAUAGUUGGGGUGAUUAUCGUAUUCAAUUGUCAGAGGUGAAAUUCUUGGAUUAUCGGAAGAUGAACUUCUGCGAAAGCAUCUGCCAAGGAUGUUUUCAUUGAUCAAGAA
rnacentral:rRNA from 1 species